rnacentral:rRNA from 1 species
AUUGAACGCUGGCGGCAGGCCUAACACAUGCAAGUCGAACGAGUGGCGGACGGGUGAGUAAUGUCUGGGAAACUGCCUGAUGGAGGGGGAUAACUACUGGAAACGGUAGCUAAUACCGCAUACCAUCAGAUGUGCCCAGAUGGGAGUAGCUUGUUGGUGGGGUAACGGCGCACCAGGGCGACGAUCCCUAGCUGGGCUGAGAGGAUUACCAGCCACACUGGGACUGAGACACGGCCCAUACUCCUACGGGAGGCAGCAGUGGGGAAUAUUGCACAAUGGGCGAAAGCCUGAUGCAGCCAUGCCGCGUGUAUGAAGAAGGUCUUCGGGUUGUAAAGUACUGUCGGCGGGGAAGCGUUACCCGCCCAAGAAGCACCGGCUAACUCCGUGCCAGCAGCCGCGGUAAUAC